GUCCUUUCGGGGACAUCCGAUAAAAUUGAAAUGAUACAGAGAAGAUUAGCAUGGUCUAUGCGCAAAUAUGACAUGCACAAAUCAAAAAAUUGUAAAAAAAAAA